CCGCCAUAUCGCCCCAAAAAUAUUUCAAACAUAGUGAAAUUCCCGUCAAAAUCCACCCUUUUAGCCUAAAAUUUCCAUUAAACCAAAACCCUCUUCUCCAUAACCACCAAAAUCCCAUUUUUAUCUUUUACAAAAAAGAAAAAAAAAUUUAGUGAUCCAAUCUAGUGGAGGAUGUCACAGAUCGUAUUUAGGAGAUCGAUAAGGAUGUCACAUACCGUAUAGGGUAGGAUGGAUGAAAUGGAGGUUAGCAUCUCGAGUCCUGUGCGAUAGGAGAAUGUCGCCGAUACUCAAAGGUAAGUUCUAUAAAGCGGUGGUUAGACUGACUAUGAUGUAUGGGUUUGAGUGCUAGCCUUUUCAGAUCUCACAUAUUCAGAAGAAGAAAGUAGCAGAAAUGAGGAUAUUGAAGUGGAUGUGCGGGCAUACCAGGAUGGAGAAAAUUAGAAAUGAUGUUAUUCGGGAGAAUGUGCAUGUGACCCCCAUUGAUGACAAGAUGUGAGAAGCCAAGCUAAGAUGGUUUGGGCAUGUUCAAAGGAAAAGCCCAAAUGGACCAGUAAGGAGGUUUGAACGGCUGGUUGUGGAGGGCACGAGAAGAGUUAGAGGGAGGCUUAAGAAGUACUAGGGAGAGGUGAUCAAGCAGGAUAUGGUGAGGUUUCAAAUUUCCAAGGACAUGACACUUGAUAGGAAGUUGUGGAGGUCGAGUAUUAGGGUUGUAGGUUAGGAAGUAGUUGAGUCUUGCCUUACUUCGUACUAUUGUGAGAUUAGUCUAGUAAGGUCUGUCUAAGAUAGAUAGUGACAAUGUUGUGUCAAUGCAUGACCUAUUUAAUAGCUAUUUCUUUUGCUUUGCUUUGCAUAUUUCUUCUGGAUUUCAUGUAGUUCCUAUUUUACAUAUGAUUUCUAUGGUAAUACUAAUAUUUUUUCCUUUUGUCCUUUUAUUUGCUUGAACAGAGGGUCUUUCAAAAACGGCCCCUCUACUCCUUCGGGGUAGGGGUAAAGUUUGCGUACACACUAUCCUCCCAGACCCCAUUAGUGAGAUUUUACUGGGUGGUCGUUGUUGUUGUUGUUGAUCCAAUCUAGAAAAAUAUAACAUUGUAUAAGCAAAAAUACCCAUGGUAUAUGAAGAUAAAGAAGGUGAUGUAUAAGUUUUACAAGUACUAUACACGUUAUACACUAGUGUGAAGUGUAUAUAUAUUUUUUUUAUACAUUGUCAAACAAUAUAUACACUAUUGUACACUUUAUAUAUAAAAUUAUAUGAACAUUGAAUUUGUACAAAAAAAGUAUAUGUAUUAUAUCAGUGUGGAUACCCUUUCAUAUAAAUGUGCAUACAUAAUACAUACAUAUUAUAUACAAUAUUUUCAACACACACCAUAGUCACUGUAAUCUUUCACGUCCAUUUUGUAUAAUACGUGUAUAAUAAAUAUAUCAUUAGUAUAUAAUAUAUAUGCACCGAUUAUACACUUAAUACAAUUAUACACUGCUUACACAAUAUAUAAAUAAAGAAGCGCUGAUGAUAAUGGAGGACACCAACCUUGGCCAGAAAAAGCUUUUCUCCGGCAGCGACUAUUUUAUUUUCUCCAUUUCUCAUUUCUUGCAAAGUCAUUCAAAAAAUUAUCAUGCAAUAUUAUAUCUGAAAGUGGAUAGAAAAUAAAGAAAGCAUCAACCACAGUCAGACUUUUGUCAGAAAUUACUCAAUGAAGAUAGAUAUUUUUGUAUUUAAGUAAAAGAGGAGGAGAUCGCAAUGAAAAAGAGAGAAAAAAUGUGUGUCGGUAUCCCUAUAGGAGAAGAAAAAAAAAAAGGAGGGAGUGGAAAGAUAAGAAGAAAGAAAAGAUGAAAGAUUGAAGAUUGGAGGAGCUGAGAAGAGAGAGAGA
rnacentral:lncRNA from 1 species